rnacentral:sRNA from 1 species
CAAACUUCUAGUACAAGAGGAUUUGGUCACAUUACAUAAUUUAUUUCCAUUCUCUUCAUUAAGCCAAGAAUGCGGUAGUGUAAUGAGUUAAAGAUUUGUACGUCCUAACCCAAACAGGACAGCGAAGGAUGGCAGCGGGCAAGGUACGAACCCAGGACCAUCGAGAUGACUGUCACAUCCAACCAGCAUGUAUUUAAGUGUCAAAGUUACAAUAGUCUUCUGUUCAUGUUAACCCAUGUUGCAUUUCAAGCCACAUCUCACCGUUUUUAUUACUUGUGCUUACUUUUGUUCUAGCUGUUUCAAAAAGGAAUGUAACCAAUGACAACAUUUGUAACAGGAAGUGCGUGUUUGAUCGCUGGCCUGAAUCUGAGGCUGUCGAUUUGAAUAAAACUCUUAUAGAGCA